ensembl:rRNA 5S_rRNA 5S ribosomal RNA
UUCUGCAGCCCAAGACUGGUUGCCCACUGAAGCUAAGCAAGGUUGAGCCUGGUCAGUACCUGGAUGGGAGACCUCCUGGGAAAACUAGGUUGCUGUUGGAA